rnacentral:rRNA from 1 species
CCCUUAGAUGUUCUGGGCCGCACGCGCGCUACACUGAUGCAUUCAACGAGUCUAAAACCUGGUCUGAUAGGGCUGGGUAAUCUUUUGAAAGUGCAUCGUGAUUGGGAUAGAUGAUUGCAAUUCUUCAUCUUCAACGAGGAAUGCCUAGUAAACGCAAGUCAUCAGCUUGCAUUGAUUACGUCCCUGCCCUUUGUACACACCGCCCGUCGCUCCUACCGAUUGAAUGAUCCGAUGAAUACCAUGGAUUGAGAGUACGAAUGGGUUCGCUCAUUUCUGCUGCUCGAGAAGUGGAGUAAAUCUUAUCAUUUAGAGGAAGGAGAAGUCGUANCA